CUGGCUGUUGUAUGCAGUCAAAAGAUACUCGAUAAGAAGAGGCCACAAAAGAUGAGGUGGCUGUUUAAUCUAUUUAAUGAGUCCUAGCUGAUUCUUUUGAAUGUUUGAAUUUCAAUUAACAAAUGGCUAGAUCUCAUAAAAGCAUUUGAGUAUUAUUGAGAUCUUAAGUGAAUAUUUCAAUUUGCAGAAAAGGAUUGCUAUAUCAGAAAUUUAGGUGAAAGCUGUUCUUGUAAACCUGCUAUUCAAGACAAAUCUCGUAUAUUUUCUUGUUUCCCAAUUGAUAAGCAUGACUACGUGGGUGUAUAAGA
rnacentral:lncRNA from 1 species